rnacentral:rRNA from 1 species
AUGGAAAAAUACCGUAGAACUAUUGUUCUAUGGUUUGCGCUUAAAAAAACAUCAGCUCCAUCAACACAGUUGUUCAAGUAUAGCUUUAGCAGCUGAAGUCGCUCCUCUUCCCCGGGUAGGGGAAACUCGAUAACUUCAUCAAUUCGGUCAGUAACAGUAGCAUCAAGAUCACCCAGUGGGUUGUUGCAACUUGCAAGGACAAGAACAAUGUCCCUUGAUUGGUCACCAGUUCGAACCAACAGCGCAUUGAGAGCAUUCCGCCGAGCUUCACUCAUAUGUGUGUGUUGCGCCUACUAG